GACGAACGCUGGCGGCGUGCUUAACACAUGCAAGUCGAGCGGAGCGGCGAACGGGUGAGUAUCGCGUGAGUAACUGCCCCCCUCCCUGGGAUAACAGUUGGAAACGGCUGCUAAUACCGGAUAGUGGGGGAUGACUCGCGUCCUAUCAGCUUGUUGGUGGGGUAGUGGCUUACCAAGGCGACGCCGGGUAGCCGGCCUGAGAGGGCGACCGGCCUCAGUGGGCUUAGCAACGGCCCAAACUCCUACGGGAGGCAGCAGUGGGGAAUAUUGCCCAAUGGAGGAACCGGUGAUGCAGCAACGCCGCGUGCGGGGUGACGGCCUUCGGGUUGGACACCGCUUUCAGCCAUGACGCGGUAGUGGCAGAAGAAGCACCGGCUAACUACGUGCCAGCAGCCGCGGUAAUUC
rnacentral:rRNA from 1 species